AAAGAGAGAGAGGAAGAAAAAAAGUGGUAAAAUUAUCAAUCCACCUUAUUAAGUAAUUAUGAUUAAGUAUUUUAACUAUGAUUAAUUAAAUAUUUUUAACAAAUCGAUGCUAACGGCAGAUAUAUAUCUGAAUAUAUUAUAAUUUUUACAGAAAUAACUUAUAAAAUUUAAAUUUUAAAAAAAUAUAUUUAUAAUUUAUUAUAUUUACGAAGAUAUGUAUGAAAUUAUUCCUAUAUAAUAUAUUAUCUAAUCCAUUAACCC
rnacentral:lncRNA from 1 species